GCCUCCAACCCAAAACACAAUGCAUAAUUAAUCUAUGUUUAUACAUAUGCGGGUAUAUACAUAUAUAUGUUAUACUACGCAUCUACAACGUAGUUUAGGUGAUACGACAUGUGUGACAACAUAGUUUGACUGCAAAUAUAAAAUUCUUCGUCCUACUCAUGAUUCAAUAAUACAAGGUUAUGUGUUCAGCAACAAGACUCUGAAGGUUUUUAAGUAAUUUAAUGUUAAAUUUCUGUAACACCGGAUUUAUACACGUCUCAUGUCUCAUUCGCGGUCACACGGGCAACAUUGUUUUCGGCAACAUUUUGACAUUUAAUACCUUAGCAUCGUCUGGUUCGGAUAUACAGUUAGUAACAUAAAUAAAUAUACAGGAGCCUGAUUUACAGAAUUGUUUGACGCUAACGCUUUCCUUAAUAUGUAAUCAAAAGCCAAGUCAUAUUUUCUGAUGAGUGUAAGUUCAGUAUCUGUGGAUCCGAUGACCGUGAAAAAGUUUGGAGAAAAGUUAACGCGGAAUUGGAUCCAAACAAUAUGACCGGUAACUGUGAAGCACGGAGAGGGCUCUGUGAUGGUUUGGGCAUGUAUGGCUGCGAACUUGGUAUUUAUCGAAAAUAUUCAAUAUAAAGCGCUAUAAUUUUGUUCCUUCUUAAAAUUGUGUCAUUAUUUGGAUUAAAUAUGACUUUUGUAUUUCAUUCAUGUAAAUAAAACACAAUUUUGUUAUAACUUGUUUGAAGGAAUCGAUUGGAGGAAAAUUGAAAACGUGUCCGGUGUAUUCUUAUUAUACUUCUGUUACUAACUGUAUCCUAGAACCCGCUUACAUGUAAAGCAGAGAACGGCUGAACCGAUUCGGCUGAAAAUUGAUGGAGAGGUAGCUUAGAACCAGGAGACGGACAUAGGAUACUUUUUAUCCCAUUGGAACGCGUUUCCGUGAAGUCACUAUAAAAUGUGGUAAAGCGUUUUUCAGUAAGAGCGCUUCAACUUUUUUUUUUUAAUAAAACACAAACGGUUUGACUUUUUUAACUAAUUUUUUUUUUAUUAUCGAGUUUGAACAUAUACAUUUAAGUAUGAAAUUCGAUUUCUUUUGCAUGACCACCGCGUGCACGUUUUACGAAAUCCAAUCGUUGAACCCAAUUUUCGACCACUCUUUUGCAUAAAUCGGCCGAAAUUCCAGCAAUUUCGCGUUCAAUAUUGGCUCUGAGCUCACAAAUCGUCGCCGGCUUGUUACUGUAGACCAAUGACAUCACAUAACCCCAAAGAAAAUAGUCUAGGGGCGUCAAAUCACACGAGCGCGGCGGCCAUUCGACCGGUCCAUUUCUGGAAAUAAUGCGCUCAUCGAACUUACUCUUCAACAAAUCAAUUGUAGCGUGUGCUGUGUGGCUUGUGGCCCUGUCCUGUUGAAACCACAUGUCGUCUAAGUCCAUACCAUUCAAUUGCGGCCAAAAAUAAUCGUUUAUCAUGUCGCGGUAUCGAUUUCCGUUCACAGUAAAGUGGCGAUCGUUCUCGUCAACGAAAAAAUAUGGGCCAAUUACGCCGCCGGCAUGUAAACCGCACCAAACAGUGAUUUUUUCGGGAUGCAACGGUGCCUCAUGAAUCACGUGUGGAUUGCUUUCUGCCCAGUAACGCAUAUUUUGCUUGUUGACAAAGCCAUUGAGUCAAAAGUGAGCUUCAUCACUGAAGAUGAUUUUUUGGAAAAAAUCUGGAUUACAGUAGGACAACAGAACGAUUAUUUUCAUAAAAAAUUUGCACGAUUUGCAAUCAUUGUUCAAGAGGGUAGCGUUCCAUGAUGAAAUGUAUACUAAUGAAGUUUACAAAUUACAAGCGAAAAAUAAAAAAUAUUGCGUCGUUCGCCCUCCCUAUCGGAAAAAAGUUGAAGUGCACCUAUUGAAAAACGCUGUAUAACAAAAACCCAUCUGAUAUGGAAUAACAAAACGCAAAUGACAGACGAUCGAAUCUUUCCCGACAAAGCCGUAGUACAAGAAGGAUACGAAACAUUGCGAAUGAAACGACUGAAGAAGCACAAGGAAUUGCCCGUGAAGAGUGCCGCGUUAGUAUGGCUCGACUUCGUGCUUCUCAAUCAAAAGAGCAAAGUGAGGCAGCCCGUGAAACGGCUCGGUUGGCAAUGCGAAAUCGUCGAGCGAAUAACAGAGAUCAACAAGUAGAUCCUUUCCGACGCACAAUAAGAGAAUUAUCAAGUGCUGAUUUGAAUCGAGCAACGUUUUGAUAUGAUUGCAACACUGAUUACUGUUUGCAUCCUAGCGUUUGCAUUGGGCCAAUGAACGUUGUUCGUGAGUAUUGUGGCGCAUUGAAAUUUUCCUGAGAAAAGCCCGGAUUGUGCUGCCUUAGUGGAAGAGUGAAAUUGCCAUUAUUGCCAGGUGAAGAAACUACAAAGAAAGUUAGCUCGAUGAAUUAUUACGCAUAUCGUUUGAUGAUUCGUCAAAAUGCUGACAACUAUUUGCUGCGGUUUCGUCGAUGGUUUCAGCAGUAUUGCGUCGACAUGUACGUCAAAAUCCAAACUUCGUUCUGAGGAAUGUACAUUUACGUGAUGCAAUUGGUACUGAAGGAAAUGCAGCUAAUAUUGGUCGAUUAACUAUUCUGCCGGCGACGUACAUAGGUAGUCCACGUCAUAUGCAUGAAUAUGCGCAAGAUGCAAUGACAUAUGUUCGUCAUUACGGUAGGCCAAAUAUCUUUAUUACUUUUACCUGUAAUUCAAAAUGGAUAGAAACUGUUGCCACACGCACACAUUCUUAUUCGGUUAGUGGAAAGAAUUCAAACAGACCAAGUUGAUGAUACCAUAUGUGCCGAGAUUCCCGAUCACGAAGCCGAUCCAGAGCUACAUGAUGUUGUAAUUACAAAUAUGAUUCAUGCACCGUGUGGCGCCAUCAAUCCCCAAUCACCUUGCAUAGUCGACGGCAAGUGUUCCAAACGAUAUCUACGGAAAUUAACGGCGGAGACUGUUACUGGGAACGAUGGUUAUCCACUGUAUCGCCGUCGAUCACCCGGUGAUAACGGUCGAACUAUCACAACAAAAGUGAAAAGAAAGGACUUCGGUGUCGACAACAGUUGGAUUGUUCCAUAUUCGCCACUUAUUUCCAAAAUGUUCAAGACACAUUGCAACGUUGAGUAUUACAAUUCAGUAAAUUCCAUAAAAUACAUUUGCAAAUACAUAUGUCACGAAAGGCAGCGAUAUAGCGGUUUUUGGCAUCCAAUCCUCCAAUACCAACGAUGAAAUCACGCGCUAUCAAGUUGGUCGUUAUGUGAACUGCAAUGAAGCGAUUUGGCGUAUAUUCGCAUUCCCUAUUCACGAACGUGAUCCUACUGUUGUGCAUUUGUGCCUCUAGAGCGGAACAAAGUUCGCCGGGUCUGUUAGUAAUAAAUAAUUCGCUAUUUUUUAUUUACAUAUAUGUAUAAAUUUUUGUACUUGAAUAAAAAAAUGUAAUUAAAAAUA